CCAAUAGCGUAUAUUAAAGUUGUUGCAGUUAAAAAGCUCGUAGUUGAAUUUCGAGACUGGUUUACUGAUCGUGCUUUUGUACGUACUGGUAUUAUUGGUUUCUCCUUUCUGACGAAUCAUAAUGCCAUUAAUUUGGUGUUUUGGGGAAUCAGGACUGUUACUUUGAAAAAAUUAGAGUGUUUAAAGCAGGCUCACGCUUG
rnacentral:rRNA from 1 species